CGGCGGAAAACAUUGUUCUUCUUCUCCAAAGCUGAAUCCAUUCCCAAAACUCGCCAAAUUUCAGGCGAGUGAAACCCAAACUCGCACCUCGCGUUUUCCCCUUUCUCCUCCUACCAUAUUACAACUGUUUCCGACAGAUUCCCUUUCCCUCACAUGCUUCUUCGAUUUAUCUAGGAUUUUUUCACCCUUCAGAUGAAAAUAAGGAAAAAUAGGGAGCGUUAGAUUGGAUUUGAGCUAAUCUACUCCCUCCAUUUAUCCCUCUUUCAUUAGAAACGGGGUAAAAAAUCAGUUUGGGAGAGGAUUUUUUGUUUUGGGAAUUUUCUUGAAGAGGAAGGAAGAAGAUUCGAGAAGAUACGAAAGUCUAUAUAAGGUGAAGACCUUUUCUUGUGUAGGGGGAUUGUUUUUUUGGGGAAAGAAUUGGUCAGAGAGAAUUUUCGAGAGAAAGUUUGAUAAAUAUUAAGGUUCUUCUUAAUCUUCUUUCACAUUCUUUUUCCUUCCAGAAAACGCAAAACAAAAAAAUGAUUCUGUUUUGUUUUUGAUUAAUUGGUAACGUGAGAUUUUAGGUUGGUUUAAGUGACAAUUACAAAAAAAAAACCGUUUCUUCAUUUUUUAUUUUGGUUCUGGUGGUCAAAAUCAUGGGAGUUGAUUGAGGUGCUCAAGUUCGAGUUUCGUCGUCGAGUUCAUUUUGAUUGAAGUUGUGGUUUCUCUAUUAUCUGUUGGUGUAACUGCUGAAAUCUCCUUGUCAUUAGGAUUUGUUUCUUCAGGUUCAUCCCUUCCCUCUUCUAUUUACUUGUUGUUUAUGGUGAAUAGAAACCUUGAAAAAGCCAUUUAAAGUGAGGUUAUUGUUACACUUAGUUGCUUAACCUGAUGGGCCAGUCCAUGAGAUUUUUAAGACAAUGGAAAAUCAGUUUUAACUUGAUCUUGUCAUGGUGUGGUUCAUUUUAAUUUGUUACGCGUUCGUAAAUCUGAGGCUAUAAGUUCGUUUCAGAUUGUUUAGCCUCUACUGAUUUGUCUAUGAGUUCUUUGUUGUUUGCUGGUAAUCGUUUUCAGACUUUUAUGCACAUUAGAAGAUUCAAAUGAUCCUUUCUGCAUUGGAUUGUUUUCGUUGGCUAUUAGGCUUGGAUUGACGCAAAUAAUUUUGUUGGCAGUAGUUGAUUUUUUCAUUGGAUAUUAAGUUUGGAUGAUUUGUUUUUAGUGUAAUGGGCAGUAAGGAGAUUCACAACUCCAUCUCCAUAUCUUCAUGACUUUGUUUCACCUCUGAGAAUAACUACACUACUAUACUUCAUAAAACAAUUUGUCAGAUUGCGUUAUUCGUAUUUUUCAAGAGCACAAAGGGCGAGUAAGGGUAUUGCCAAUUAUUUUGGACUCCUGUUUCCAAAUUCUCUCUGCUUUCGAUAAUCCUGGUAUGACAUUCUAUCUAUUUCUGCUAAAACUGUAAUUUGCUUGAAUAAAAUGUAUACAAAACAUAAAAUAUGAUAUAGUUGAGUUAUAUUAUACAACGUAAGUCUUGGUUUUGUCUUUCCACCAAAUUCUUAGUUAGUUGCUUACGAAGUCUUGGGAAUAUCGAUUGAAAUCAAAAAAAGUAAACGGGCUGCUGAGAUUCUAGUGUAUUGAUCGCAAUUUGUGUUUGGAAUAUUUUGGUUGGCAUAUAGUAUAAGUUAUGGAUAUUUCGCUUGUCAUGCACCUACUGGUCCCUGAUCAUACACCUUUUGUCCCUGCUCAAUGCUUUGCCCCAAAUUUUAAAAAAGAGGUCCAUGAAAGACUUGUUCUUGUGGCGGUAGGUUUUGG
rnacentral:lncRNA from 1 species